rnacentral:tRNA from 1 species
GGGGACGUGGCCCAGGUGGUAGGGCAUCUGUUUCGCAAUCAGAAGGUCAGGGGUUCGACCCCCCUCGUCUCCA